rnacentral:tRNA from 1 species
GCGUAUAGCUCAAGUGGUAGAGCACAUGCUUGGCAUGCAUGGAGUCCUGGGUUCAAUCCCCAGCAUCUGCA